rnacentral:rRNA from 1 species
GAUGAACGCUGGCGGCGUGCCUAAUACAUGCCAGUCGAGCGAACGGACGAGAAGCUUGCUUCUCUGAUGUUAGCGGCGGACGGGUGAGUAACACGUGGAUAACCUACCUAUAAGACUGGGAUAACUUCGGGAAACCGGAGCUAAUACCGGAUAAUAUUUUGAACCGCAUGGUUCAAAAGUGAAAGACGGUCUUGCUGUCACUUAUAGAUGGAUCCGCGCUGCAUUAGCUAGUUGGUAAGGUAACGGCUUACCAAGGCAACGAUGCAUAGCCGACCUGAGAGGGUGAUCGGCCACACUGGAACUGAGACACGGUCCAGACUCCUACGGAAGGCAGCAGUAGGGAAUCUUCCGCAAUGGGCGAAAGCCUGACGGAGCAACGCCGCGUGAGUGAUGAAGGUCUUCGGAUCGUAAAACUCUGUUAUUAGGGAAGAACAUAUGUGUAAGUAACUGUGCACAUCUUGACGGUACCUAAUCAGAAAGCCACGGCUAACUACGUG